rnacentral:rRNA from 1 species
CAAUUGUAAAGGAAGCCAAAGGGGUUUGGGCCUUUUGUUUUAGUGGCGAACGGGUUAAGUAACGCGUAAAUUACCCUGAUUCAAGGAGGGGGGAAAACCAACCGGAAACAGUUUGCUAAUUCCGCCUUAGCCCACAAUGUUUCAUGAUGAGGGGGUCAAAGAAUUUUUCGGUCAAGGAUGGACUCGCGUCCGAUUAGCCGUUGGGCGGGGGUAACGGCCCCACCCAAAGCAACGAAUCGUUAGCCGGACUGAGGAGGUUGAACGGCCACAUUGGGACUGAGACACGGCCCAGACUCUUACGGGAGGCAGCAGUGGGGGAUAUUGCGCAAUGGGGGGAAACCCUGACGCAGCAACGCCGCGUGAAGGAUGAAGGUCUUCGGAUUGUAAACUUCUUUUAUUAAGGACGAAGAAUGACGGUACUUAAUGAAUAAGCCCCGGCUAACUACGUGCCAGCAGCCGCGGUAAUACGUAGGGGGCGAGCGUUGUCCGGAAUUAUUGGGCGUAAAGGGUACGUAGGCGGUUUUUUAAGUCAGCAGUUAAAGCGCGGGGCUCAACCCCGUAAAGCUGUUGAAACUGGAGAACUUGAGAGAUGGAGAGGAAAGUGGAAUUCCUAGUGUAGCGGUGAAAUGCGUAGAUAUUAGGAAGAAUACCAGUAGCGAAGGCGACUUACUGGCCUCUAACUGACGCUGAUGAACGAAAGCGUGGGUAGCAAACAGGAUUAGAUACCCUGGUAGUCCACGCCGUAAACGAUGAGUGCUAAGUGUUGGAGGGUUUCCGCCCUUCAGUGCUGCAGCUAAC